UACGGAAGGCAGCAGUGGGGAAUAUUGCACAAUGGGCGAAAGCCUGAUGCAGCUAUGCCGCGUGUAUGAAGAAGGCCUUAGGGUUGUAAAUACUUUCAUCGGGGAGGAAAAAACAAAACUAAUAAUUUUAUUUCUUGACGUUACCCGAAAAAGAAGCACCGGCUAACUCCGUGCCAGCAGCCGCGGUAAUACGGAGGGUGCUAGCGUUAAUCAGAAUUACUGGGCGUAAAGAGCACGUAGGUGGUUUUUUUAAGUCAGAUGUGAAAUCCCUGGGCUUAACCUAGGAACUGCAUUUUGAAACUGAAAUACUAGAGUAUCGUAGAGGGAGGUAGAAUUCUAGGUGUAGCGGUGAAAUGCGUAGAUAUCUGGAGGAAUACCUGUGGCGAAAGCGGCCUCCUAAACGAAUACUGACACUGAGGUGCGAAAGCGUGGGGAGCGAAACAGGGAUUAGAUACC
rnacentral:rRNA from 1 species